rnacentral:rRNA from 1 species
AAAUCUCGUGCCAGCCACCGCGGUUAUACGAGAGACUCCAGUUGAUAAUACGGCGUAAAGAGUGGUUAAGAAAAUACAACAAAUAAAGCCAAAGACCCCUAAGCCGUCCUACGCACCUCGGGGGCACGAAGCCCAAACACGAAAGUAGCUUUACCCUAACUGUUCUGACCCCACGAAAGCUAAGAAACAAACUAGGAUUAKAUACCCCAC